rnacentral:lncRNA from 1 species
CAAGAGGUUACCCUUAGACUUAAUCUAGAAAGAAAAACAAAGGAACACAUUAACAAAAGAACUGACAGUGUGAAAAUUCUUCAGUCUUCAAUGCCAGUUUAUUAAGUUACAUCUAUUAAAUAUAUUAACACAUACAACAUUUCAUUUACAGAGAUUAGAAUUCAUACACUAGUACCCAAAGACAUGGGAUGCAUACCAGUUAAGUACGUAUCCAACAACAUACAAUAUGCAUUUUACCUUGCGGUUGAUGUUUUAACAUAAAACAUAAAAUCAAUGAAAGCACAUGGGGUUUGUCACUAAAACCACAUAAACACCUACACUUCUUCAAUCUGUACACCCCUGAAACAAAAAAAGGGGAACAUUACAUGCUUUAAUGACUUUAAGAAUAAAAUCAUUUGAUGAAGUUCAGCUACUUUAUUUACUUGGCACUGUGUGUCUUGUUCCUCCUGAAUGUAUACACUGUGAGAGUAGGACUUGCCUGUCGCAUUCCUUCUCAGCUCUCCAGUAUCCAGGCAAGUGCUGCCACGUGACAGAUGCUCAAAACAAAAAUGAUUUACGAAUGAAGUUGAAAGACUGCUGGGCUUAUUGUUAAGAUAUCUAAAUUCUACUUUUAGCAUCCAACUAGCUACUGUCUGGCACUGGCCACGAAGGGUGACAGGGUGUGGAUGUGAUGGCUCCCUCUGAGCCUGGGUUUCUUCAUCUUUGAAAUGAUAUAACUUGGAAUAAACUCCGCAGAUACUGUCAUUUCUAAAAUUCCAUGACAUUUCUCUAUUGGCCAAGAUCUUAGGGGUAUUUUGUGUUGGACACUCUCUGGACAAAUGGGAAAUGACAGCUAAUUACUGAACCCUUGAGAAGGCCUGCCAGGUUUGUAAUGAUCAACUAGAACACAUGGAAGUCAAUGAACAAAAGGCCACAUAAUUAUAGAUUUGAAAAAGACCUCAGAGAUCCUUUGGCUUAAUCUCUCCCCCAACCUCUGUGAAGAAUAGCUUCUACAAAAACCCUUGUGACAAGCCCUUUGUUUGAGUAUCUCCAGGGACUGAGAAAUAGCAUCCUAGAAAAAUUCUAUUUUGGAGUAGAAAAUUCCUUUGGGGAUCAAGCCAGAGAGGGCAACCUUGUAACUGCAACUCUGUAGCCCUAGCUCUCUUCUCUGGGGAGCUACAGUAGAAGUCUCCUCCCACUUCCAUGUUGUCCUACAGGUGUUUGAAAAUACUUGUCCCAUCUUCCUUCAAAUCACUAAAAUGAACUCUAUUUGCGAUGAGUAGAGAGGUUAGAAGAGUCCAGGAUUAUGGUUCAGGAAGACAGCUUCCUAGCUCUAGAUCAGCCCUUAACUCACUAUGUGGCCCUGGGCAAGUAACUUCUUCCUUCCAGGCUGGUGUGGUAUUUUCAUCUUAAAAUGGGGUGAUGGAAGGGGUGGAGGCAAGUGUGUCUCAGAGCUGGGGAAGUUGUAAAUGUGGUUGUUAGAGGGUGACGGGGCAUGGAGGUGAUGGCUCUGAUCCACAUUCUCUCACCACUGGUGCAAAAGGAUUCAAGGCUUAUUAGGUUAACAGUCUACUAAAUUCUCUGUAGGUCCAGCUGCCAAUAUGAUGCAAAAAUGUUAAUAUCCAGGAUAAGGAUGUACACUUGAAAAUUCUGCUACAAAUAUCAAAACACUUCUAGGACUCUGGGCCAUAGGAAAGCCAGAAAUCUUAAGGCAAGAGAUGUUUGCAUGUGUUUUUAAGGUACAGAAUAUAAACAGUUCUGUCUUGCAGAAUUAAUCCCCAAUGUCACAAUCAUGGAAACAGAAUUGGGUAAGGGCUUGGGAAAAUACCUUGCAAGAGAAUGUUGGCAAUGGCCGUGCCUUGUGCACAGUGAGUUAGUUAAACUUUUAUAAUCCAGGGGGAUUACUGACCAGCACAGAGGCGGAAUUUCCUCUGGGGUGAUGAGAACUGAAUAGUUUAGGUUGAAAUGGAGCCAAGAGUUCUGGUGUGCUCUAUUAUUGAUUCAACCUGACAUAUUUCAGGAAGUGAAAACGUACACUUUUCCCUUUUCUUACUGUACCUUAGUAAAAAAAAAAUCAGAGUCCGGGCACAGUGGCUCACACUUGGAGUUAUUCUUUAGAGUAUGUUGACUGAUGUU